GACGAACGCUGGCGGCGUGCUUAACACAUGCAAGUCGAACGGAAAGGCCCUGCUUUUGUGGGGUGCUCGAGUGGCGAACGGGUGAGUAACACGUGAGUAACCUGCCCUUGACUUUGGGAUAACUUCACGAAACUGGGGCUAAUACCGUAUAGGAGAUCCUGCUGCAUGGUGGGGGUUGGAAAGUUUCGGCGGUUGGGGAUGGACUCGCGGCUUAUCAGCUUGUUGGUGGGGUAGUGGCUUCCCAAGGCUUUGGAGGGUAGCCCGCCUGAGAGCGUGACCGGGCACAAUGGUACUGCGAGACGGACCAGACGCGUACGGGAGGCAGCAGUGGGGAACAUUGCACAAUGAGCGCAAGCCUGAUGCAGAAGCGCCGGGUUCGGGAAGACGGCCUUCGGGUUGUAAACCGCUUUCGCCUGUUACGAAGCGGGAGUGACGGUAACGGGUAAAGAAGCACCGGCUAACUACGUG
rnacentral:rRNA from 1 species